UAUGUUUCAUCAAGACUUUAAGCAGCAUUCACUUCCCUGUCCAGAAAAGCUACCGAUUAGAGCAAAUUGAUAUGUUGCUUCACAGAAUAUUAAUUUCACACAGAAAAUAACUCCUGCUUUCUAAGACUGGCAUCAACAUAUUUUCUCACAUGAAAUUCUGCUUCAGGCACCAGUUCGGAAGCCAAAUCUCGGGGAAUAAUGAUGACAUCAGCCUGAUCCUGAGGACCAAUACCUGAAAUAAUCUGCAGCUGCGAUUUCUGCAGCAUAGAAUGCAUCACCAAGGGGACACAAAGCCAAUACAGUAGCAAUGAGCUGUGCCUUCUCAAUAUCAUGGAAAGAAGCACACCUAGAAAAUGGCUUCCUUGCAGGAAUCACCUACUGGCGCUACAGAUGGGUAGCACAAAUUAGUGCUAUCAGAGAUCACAACAUAUAAAAUAAAUGACA